rnacentral:scRNA from 14 species
UAAGGAGGGUAAAGAAGGGGACUUUCUCGGAAAUUUAGAAUGUCCUCGAUACAACCCUCCGAAAUAAUAAAAAACACGGAACAACUUUGAUUUAUCGAGGAUAAAAUCAAAGCUACACCGUGUAUGACAUUU